rnacentral:rRNA from 1 species
UGGGGAAUUUUGGACAAUGGGCGAAAGCCUGAUCCAGCAAUGCCGCGUGUGUGAAGAAGGCCUUCGGGUUGUAAAGCACUUUUGUCCGGAAAGAAAUCCUUGGCUCUAAUACAGUCGGGGGAUGACGGUACCGGAAGAAUAAGCACCGGCUAACUACGUGCCAGCAGCCGCGGUAAUACGUAGGGUGCAAGCGUUAAUCGGAAUUACUGGGCGUAAAGCGUGCGCAGGCGGUUUGCUAAGACCGAUGUGAAAUCCCCGGGCUCAACCUGGGAACUGCAUUGGUGACUGGCAGGCUAGAGUAUGGCAGAGGGGGGUAGAAUUCCACGUGUAGCAGUGAAAAUGCGUAGAGAUGUGGAGGAAUACCGAUGGCGAAGGCAGCCCCCCUGGGCCAAUACUGACGCUCAUGCACGAAAGCGUGGGGAGCAAAACAGGAUUUAGAUACCCUGGUAGUCCACGCCCCUAAACGAUGUCAACUAGUUGUUGGGGGAUUCAUUUUCCUUAGUAACGUAGCUAACGCGUGAAGUUGACCGCCUGGGGAGUACGGUCGCAAGAUUAAAACUCAAAUGAAUUGACGGGGUCAUAGCUGUUUCCU